rnacentral:rRNA from 1 species
AUUAAAAACCAAUGCCCUUCGGGGCUCUCUGGUGAUUCAUAAUAACUUCUCGAAUCGCACGGCCUUGCGCCGGCGAUGGUUCAUUCAAAUUUCUGCCCUAUCAACUUUCGACGGCUGGGUCUUGGCCAGCCGUGGUGACAACGGGUAACGGAGGGUUAGGGCUCGACCCCGGAGAAGGAGCCUGAGAAACGGCUACUACAUCCAAGGAAGGCAGCAGGCGCGCAAAUUACCCAAUCCCGACACGGGGAGGUAGUGACAAUAAAUGCUGAUACAGGGCUCUUUCGGGUCUUGUAAUUGGAAUGAGUACAAUUUAAAUCCCUUAACGAGGAACAAUUGGAGGGCAAGUCUGGUGCCAGCAGCCGCGGUAACUCCAGCUCCAAUAGCGUAUAUUAAAGUUGUUGAGGUUAAAAAGCUCGUAGUUGAACCUUGGGCCUAGCCGGCCGGUCCGCCUCACCGCGUGCACUGGCUCGGCUGGGUCUUUCCUUCUGGAGAACCGCAUGCCCUUCACUGGGUGUGCC